rnacentral:rRNA from 1 species
AUACGGAGGGUGCAAGGCGUUAUUCGGAAUUACUGGGCGUAAAGCGCGUGUAGGCGGCCCUGCAAGUCUGAUGUGAAAGCCCCGGGCUUAACCCGGGAAGUGCAUUGGAAACUGCAGGUCUUGAGUACUGGAGAGGAUGGGGGAAUUCCCGGUGUAGAGGUGAAAUUCGUAGAGAUCGGGAGGAAUAUCAGUGGCGAAGGCGCCCAUCUGGACAGUAACUGACGCUGAGACGCGAAAGCGUGGGGAGC